rnacentral:rRNA from 1 species
CCUACGGGUGGCAGCAGUCGAGAAUCAUUCACAAUGGGCGAAACCCUGAUGGUGCGACGCCGCGUGGAGGAAUGAAGGUCUUCGGAUUGUAAACUCCUGUCAUGUGGGAGCAAAUUAAAAAGAUAGUACCACAAGAGGAAGAGACGGCUAACUCUGUGCCAGCAGCCGCGGUAAUACAGAGGUCUCAAGCGUUGUUCGGAAUCACUGGGCGUAAAGGGUGCGUAGGCUGUUUGGUAAGUCGUGUGUGAAAGGCGCGGGCUCAACCCGCGGACGGCACAUGAUACUGGGAGACUAGAGUAAUGGAGGGGGAAGCGGAAUUCUCGGUGUAGCAGUGAAAUGCGUAGAUAUCGAGAGGAACACUCGUGGCGAAGGCGGGUUCCUGGACAUUAACUGACGCUGAGGCACGAAGGUCAGGGGAGCGAAAGGGAUUAGAUACCCCAGUAGUC